GGCCUUCGGGUCCGCAUUGUAAUUUGUAGAGGAUGCUUUGGGUGAAACGCCAGUCUAAGUUCCUUGGAACAGGACGUCAUAGAGGGUGAGAAUCCCGUAUGUGACUGGAAAUGUUAACCUAUGUAAAGCUCCUUCGACGAGUCGAGUUGUUUGGGAAUGCAGCUCUAAAUGGGAGGUAAAUUUCUUCUAAAGCUAAAUAUUGGCGAGAGACCGAUAGCGCACAAGUAGAGUGAUCGAAAGAUGAAAAGCACUUUGGAAAGAGAGUUAAAAAGCACGUGAAAUUGUUGAAAGGGAAGCGCUUGCAAUCAGACUUGUUUAAACUGUUCGGCCGGUCUUCUGACCGGUUUACUCAGUUUGGACAGGCCAGCAUCAGUUUCGGCGGCCGGAUAAAGGCUCUGGGAAUGUGGCCUUCACUUCGGUGAAG
rnacentral:rRNA from 1 species